UGCUAGUCUGCUUUAUUCGAUAGUUCAAAAUCUAAUUUCGCGCAAAAUCAUUUCCGUUUUCUCUGUUAGUUUUGUGAAGCAAAACAGUUUUUUGCAUUUCAACAAAUGUUGAGCUCAUGGUGCUUGCAAUUUCCGCAAGAAAUGGCCUUGUCCUGGAGAGAGAAUUCCGCCUAAAAAUUGAAGCUUUCGUUCCCAGAAAAGACCUCAAAGGGCAAUCAGUCGCUAUUAUAGGAUUGGGAAAAUCUGGGAUUGCAGCGGCGAAACUUGCUCUUGCUAGAGGUGCUUCAGUUCUCGCCCUUGACCAGAAUGAGACGUUGAAACCACUGGAGUGUACUCUAACUGCAG